UACGUAGGGUGCGAGCGUUGUCCGGAAUUAUUGGGCGUAAAGGGCUCGUAGGCGGUUUGUCGCGUCGGGAGUGAAAACCAUGAGCUUAACUCAUGGCUUGCUUUCGAUACGGGCAGACUAGAGGUAUGCAGGGGAGAACGGAAUUCCUGGUGUAGCGGUGAAAUGCGCAGAUAUCAGGAGGAACACCGGUGGCGAAGGCGGCGCUCUGGGCUGGAACUGACGCUGAGGAGCGAAAGCGUGGGGAGCGAACAGG
rnacentral:rRNA from 1 species